UUCAUACACAGUGCAAUGACGGUAACAUACAAGACAAAACAGAAAAAGGUUGCGCCAAAGCUGGCUAAAGUGCAGCUGAAAUGAACAAAGUCCAAAAUCUAAGUGGUGCCAAAACAAAGUAUUUUGUUGGGCCUGAUGAGGCAACGACAGCCUACGUGAAGGAGUAUUCUCUCUAAGGGUCGCUUGAAGAUGGUUUUACAGGAUCCGUAUGUAAAGAAAGAAACAAACAAUAGUGCAAAUUCGUCUGAUUUG